GGGCUUGACAUCCCACGAAUCCCUUCGAAAGAAGGGAGUGCCCGCAAGGGAGCGCGGAGACAGGUGGUGCAUGGCUGUCGUCAGCUCGUGUCGUGAGAUGUUGGGUUAAGUCCCGCAACGAGCGCAACCCUCACCUCUUGUUGCCACCAGGUCAUGCUGGGCACUCUAGAGGAACUGCCCCGGUCAACGGGGAGGAAGGCGGGGAUGACGUCAAGUCAUCAUGCCCCUUACGUCCUGGGCUACACACGUGCUACAAUGGCCGGUACAAAGGGAUGCCACACCGCGAGGUAGAGCUAAACCCAAAAAGCCGGUCUAAGUUCAGAUUGGAGUCUGCAACUCGACUCCAUGAAGGAGGAAUCGCUAGUAAUCGCGUAUCAGCACGACGCGGUGAAUACGUUCCCGGGCCUUGUACACACCGCCCGUCACACCACGAAAGCCCGUUGUACUCGAAGUCGCUGAG
rnacentral:rRNA from 1 species